rnacentral:lncRNA from 1 species
AAAUGGGAAGGACUUCAUUGACAUUAUCCUGUCUCGCACUCAGAGGCAGACCCCAACUGUAGUCCACAAGGGUUAUGCCAUUUCCCGCCUUCGUCAGUUCUAUAUGCGCAAAGUCAAAUAUACUCAACAGAAUUUUCAUGAAAAGCUCUCCACAAUAGUUGAUGAGUUUCCUAGGCUGGAUGACAUCCACCCUUUUUAUGGCGACCUCCUUCAUGUUCUCUACAACAAAGACCACUACAAGCUUGCACUUGGCCAAAUCAAUACUGCAAGAAAUCUUAUUGGAAAGAUUUCUAAGGAUUAUGUGAAGUUGUUGAAGUAUGGUGAUUCACUUUACCGAUGCAAAUGUCUCAAGGUCG